ensembl:lncRNA
CCUAACGUUACACUUUAAGCUGAAGUGCGUAGCUGCUUGUUUAAAUGCAAUAACUGAUUUAAAUUCGUUAAAACCGCUUUCACGUUCACAAUACUAAUAUAGAUCUAGUUUGUGCUUUAUUUAAAGUCUAGUUUGUCUUUUACAGCAUCGUAUAGUGAUUUGUUUGUGUCGGCUGUUCACCACCAAGCGGUUAAUCAUUGUGCUACAGUUUAAUGAUCUUUCAGACAUGUUUGGAAAUGCGUGUUUUAUUUUACUCUACAAAUUUGAGAGUACAACCAUCUUUAUAUCGACACAACAGCAGUGUAAUUUACAUAAAUAGCCAUACGUAAUGCUUAAACGAGAAGUCAGAUAAAGGGUGGAGGUGUAUAAGUAACCUUUUCCGUCUUCAUGUAAGCUAUAUAUAUAUGCCACAUACCAAGUUCUCUGUCAGAGAAACACACACACCUAUUGUCCCUUUUUUCAGAUGUCUGCAAACCUCAGUCUAACCCAGUUUACUAUUUUCCAGCACCUGAUGGGUGAUGUGACAUAUGUUUUGGUGUCCUUAAGUCCAAUGAAGAAACAUGGAUCAUGGAAGAGCAUAUUCCUCGAGAAACGCCCUCUUGUGCUCGUUUCCAGUGUUGCAUAUGAGAAGUAUUUCCUGUAACACACGUCCCAAUGUGCAUACUAUCCAUCCUAAAAUCUAUGUGAUAUAGUAAUUUUCAAUCCUAUUUAGGGCAGAUAGGGUGGAUAGUAUUCACAUUGGGACGCAGGGUAAGUAUCUAAUUUUUAAAACAUUGUUAAAGUAAUGCAGUAUACUUUAGAUCACAUCACAUGAUAUAUGUAGAGAAUCAGUAUGUACUCAUUUAUUCCUGUUUUUCACCACAUUAUUACUUGAAUAUUGAAAUUAUAGACUAGAAACGACUAUUAGCACUGAUUGGAGCACCAAAAUAAUUUUUUUAUUCCUGUUUUUGCACCAAUUUCUUACUUGAAUAUUAAAAUGAUAGACUAGAAAUGACUAGUAUACACACUGGAGCACUAGUAGUAAAUUUUAAUAAAAUGCAGUUGAUUAAUGAAAAAUUAAACUGC